GGAUUAGAUACCCUGGUAGUCCACGCCGUAAACGAUGCACACUAGAUUUGGGAGGCUCUGACGCCAUCCGAGUCGAAGGGAAACCGAUAAGUGUGCCGCCUGGGGAGUACGGCCGCAAGGCUAAAACUCAAAGGAAUUGACGGGGGCUCACACAAGCGGUGGAGCAUGUGGCUUAAUUCGAAACAACGCGAAGAACCUUACCCAGGUUUGACAUACAUGGAUGCAAUUUGGGGAUAACCCGAAACGCUGCUCUUCGGAGUGAAACAUGUACAGGUGUUGCAUGGCUGUCGUCAGCUCGUGCCG
rnacentral:rRNA from 1 species